AGGAGACCGCGGACGGCUGACGGUGGCCCGCAAGGGCCGCUGAGGAACGUCCCCCCUCCGCACGAAGGUGGCCCCGCGCAAGCGGGGGGCCCGAGAGGGCCGGCAAGGGCGCAGAAACGACACAGCCCGCGUCGAGGAUGAUUCGCCCGGCGAUGACGUUGGCGCGGGAUCUGGUGAGACGGCGACACCCCACCGGAGCAAGUCCAAAACGGCGCGUCAUGCGCCAGGUCGGACGCUCAGUCCCAUGCCGUCAAAACAGAAGGGGGCGUACGGCGG
rnacentral:RNase_P_RNA from 1 species